GGGGUUGACUGGUUUUGACAGCGGGAAGAAGUGAUUUGUAAGCAUGCAGUGCGUUGUUGGCUGGCACUAUAAUCUAGGACAACAAAAUUUCAACUGGCGAAGAUAACUACGCUCUUGCUGCUUAAUCGAAUUAUAGUAGAUAAAGCUUAAUUCUGGCACUAGGUGCCGGAACGAGAUAUCACCCGGAAGCUCUGGCUUCGAAGCAAUCCGAAUUAGGUGGUACAGCAAUAUCGAAGAUAGCUUAAAGUAAGCCUCGGGCUUUGAGCGAAAUUAAGAGGAUAAGGUUGGUGUAGGUGGCUUCGGUCUUGCACCAAUUCGAAAACGAAGGCGAAGAUAAGCAUGUAGAAAGCAGGUUAGUUCCUCGUUUGGACGAGGGUUCGAGUCCCUCCAACUCCAC
rnacentral:tmRNA from 1 species